AUCGCUUCUUGGCCUUUUGGCUAAGAACAAGUGUAGUAUCAGUGCUUAUCAGUUUAUAUCUGAUAUGUCCUCUAUCCGAGGACAAUAUAUUAAAUGGAUUUUUGAAGCUGAGAGUCGGAAGAGGACUUGCUCUGCCUGCUCCGUGCAUUGACCUGGUAUUGUAGUACCUCCAGGAACGGUUGCACCUCCC